UACGGAGGGGGCGAGCGUUAUUCGGAAUUAUUGGGCGUAAAGGGCGCGUAGGCGGCCUUGCAAGUCAAAGGUGAAAUCCCUCGGCUCAACUGAGGAACUGCCUUUGAAACUGCAUGGCUUGAGGCCGGGAGGGGGUAGCGGAAUUCCCAGUGUAGCGGUGAAAUGCGUAGAUAUCUGGAGGAACACCGGUGGCGAAGGCGGCAUCCUGGACCGGCAUUGACGCUGAGGCGCGAAAGCCAGGGGAGCAAACGGG
rnacentral:rRNA from 1 species